UGAAACACUGGAAGAUACAUCAACACUAGGUCCACUCCGCUGCAAAGAAACAACUGGCUUGGUCCGAGCAGCAUCCUGAGUUUACACCUGGCUAAUGAAUUUAGGGAGAAUUUUCACUACUUCUGAAUAAGUGGCCCGUGUGUUUUAAUUAUGGACAAAAUCAACAAAACACACCAGCAAGUGAAGCAAAGGAAAAGCCAUGGGCCUGAAAACCUGGGCUUCCCUUCCUACCAUAACACAAGCUAUUCGCCAGCCAAGAAUAAGGGUAUUUUCUGCAUUUUCUACAGUGAACAUGUACAAUCUUUAUACUAAAAGUUUAGUUUUUUGUAAAAAACUAUGUAAACAACAGUACUUAUUUGAAAGUUUAAUGCAUGAAAGCAUCUGAGUUUGGCCUAAAUGCAAUGACCAUACUAAGUCUUUCUGACCAGACCAGCAAACCAGCAGAAUAAGCAUUUCAACCAUUCUUCAUGCUGAAUGUGAUUACUGUUCCAAGUGAUGAGUUUUAAGGGGUUUUUAAAUUCAAUUUGUGAGUACAGUUAGGCCGCCAUAAUAAUCAACCUAAUUCAACCAUUAUGUAAAUCACUGCCUCACAGAGAGGUACCCUGGUGGAGAAAGAGAAAAGACCACAAGCAAGAAUACUUAGGAAAUAGAACGCUUUGACUAAAUGAAUGUGAUACUUAACAGCAAUUAAAAAAACCUUUAAUUCAA
rnacentral:antisense_RNA from 1 species